CGGAGGGUCACCAGGGUUGUUUUCCCCGUGCCAUCUCAGCAGCACUGCGAGGAAGGAUCAGAACGAUCAUGCAUUUAAGUAUGGUGUCGCAGAAACAUGAGUCACCUUGAUGUGGUUAGUAUUAAUAGCCGCUUUGAAUGGGGAGCUAAAGGGGUUAUAAAGGCUUCAGGACAACACCGGUUGCUGGGUGAAAGAUGGCUGUGGACCUGAGAGGAAGAAAAAGUCACAUCGGGAAUGGUGUUGCUUAUCAGUUUAGCCCGUUUUGUGUUAGCAUGAUGUCACUGGGCACACAGAUCUGGAGAGCCAUUCCUCUGUUAUUGCCUGUGUUGCCUUUUAGUUUCUCUAUAGGGGAAUUAGCAGGUUUGAUUCUAUUAGUGUCCCAGCCUACUGUAGGGGAACAAGUGCGUGUGUGUGUGUGUGUGUGUGUGUGUGUGUGUGUGUGUGUGUGUGUGUGUGUGUGUGUGUGUGUGUGUGUGUGUGUGUGUGUGUGUGUGUGUGUGUGUGUGUGUGUGUGUGUGUGUGUGUAAUGUAGGCCUACAGAAGAGGAGUUGGUAUUGUAAGACUGAAAAGUUACCGGAGUUUUAGAAUAGGCUCAUGCAUGAAAGACACGAGAUUCAUUUUUAUUUAAUUUCCUUGAAAUAAGAGACAAUUCAGCUGUUUUGCCUCCUGAUUAUUGAUUAUUUGGUGUUGCAACAUUUUAAAUAGAAACUUAGCUCAUACUAAAUUGCGUAACAAUUCGGUCACAUCUCUUAUAAUAACUUAUGACCCAUUAAAAAAGCUUUUGAUUACUCUUAAUCCAAGAAUAAAUUAAGAAAUAAAAUAGAAUGAAGGCCUUUGCCUACAUUCUAUUUUUUUGCCUAGAGUAUAGGCAGGCCUAUUCUAGUUGACUUCUACUGGCAUCUAUAUCUAUAAUGAAAUUGUGCUUGGAAUAAUUAGCAUUGUUCCUAACCUUUGUGUCGUGUUCGUUUCUCCCCAGUACUUUGGUGCUCCUGGUCAAAUUUGACCGGCCUGUUUUAACUGCUCUUACAUUAACACAUAAAACAUUGAUCAUUGCCAAAUUUUAUUUAACUCCUUUUUAACCUGUAAAAUAUUUCUCAGACUACUGGUUUGAAUGAAUAACUGCAGGGGAUAUACAAGGAAUAAACACAGAAAUUGUGUGUACGUGUGGUGGUGGUGGUGGAUUUGUGGUUGUACUAUCUGAUGGAUGAACGCAAUCUAGGGUCACCCAUUAAUUUCUUAUGGCGGUCAUUUUUGACCGGGAACACCACAGGUGUAACAAAGUUGACUAAACCACUCAAAAUUCAAUGAAAGCUGUGAUCAGCAAUUGUAUAUGUUAAAAUGCCUAGUGUGAAGGAUAUCAUAAGGCCAUGAGACAAUAAAAUGUAAAACACCCAAUUUAUGAUUGAUGAAAGUAAGAAAUCGGUCAGAUUUGACCAGAACACGACAGGAAGGUUAGCCUGUCCUAUAUUUCCUAACGUGUGUGUGUGUGUGUGUGUGUGUGUGUGUGUGUGUGUGUGUGUGUGUGUGUGUGUGUGUGUGUGUGUGUGUGUGUGUGUGUGUGUGUGUGUGUGUGUGUGUGUGUGUGUGUGUGUGUGUGUGAGUGAGUGAGUGAGUGAGUGAGUGAGUGAGUGAGUGAGUGAGUUUAUGCAUCAGCCUGUGAGAAAACUGACUCAUCCAAUGCAAACUAAUAACUCAUGUAGCCAACUGCAUCACUACAAACUCAUACAUGUCAUACACAUAUCACAAUUAAAAACGUCCUAGAAAAAACACAACAGCCACCCCUGGUCCAAACGUUACACGAAUCCUAACAAGUUGAACAUUAUUCGCAGUUUGCUGCAGCCACUCGAGGAGUCCGAUUCGCCGAGCAGAGCCAGGCGGCCCGUGGUGAUAUUAGGGACAGCCUACGUAACGGGAUAAAAACAGAUGAAAAGCUUCCGCCGUUCGUAAUAAUCCUGUCCUCAAACGACAGCGGGGGGAAACGAACCCGGCGUACCGAGCGAACCCUGCUAUACCCUGAUGCCGCCGCGUUCACUUUCGCACACUGGGAUCGGCGACGGAGGCGUCGCCUGCCGCGUUCGAUUUCGCGUUCACCGGCGUGCUGACGAGCGUACCCUGGGAAACGGCGUACCUCAGCAAGACGCCGGUCAACGCGAAAGUGAACGCGGCAGCGGCAGCGGCGUGCGGCGCGCAACGGUGCACCCGGUGAACCGCGCAAGGACUUCCUCGUUUAAAGGAACCCGGGCGCCCUCGAACAACUGCGACACAAAACCCCGCCGAAGCGUUCAAGUUUCGACCCGUUUCAUCGUUCCAGUGCCUUGGGGACAAGUUCACGGACUUUCUCUACUCCGGGCGAGGAAACGACAACAACAGGGACAUCGAGGCAACGGUGACGAACGGAGGCAGCACGUAGAAUCUCACCACCACCACCACCACCGCUGCCUCCCCCACCACCACCACCACCACCACCGCUGCCUCCUCCACCACCACCACCUCCACCACCACCACCACCACCACCUCCACCGCGGGUGCUGGUGCUGCUGCUGCUGUCAAACGUCUCUUAUCCAAGUGUGAGGCUGGGCUGCUGCUCCUGUGGGGGAACGUGGGUCCGAGGAUCCGCGUGGAGGAACGUCGUCGGGUUUCGCCGUUCGCGCCGUCUUCGCCGGGGACUUCUGGUAAGCGUUAUGCUUCUUUAUUGUCGUGUGAAUGAAGUCACGUGUGCUCGAGGUGGACGCGUGUGUGUGUGUGUUUGUUUGUUUGUUUCUUCCGCCGAUUCCGUGUCGGAUACGUCGAGCGCGAUUUGAAAAAGCGGCUGGUGAGAAUUACUCGUCAUCCGCAAAGUUCGGUCACUGCCGAAUUUUUUAGAAGCCUCCGACACAAAAGGGCCCUGAGCCGCAUGAAAAAAAUCAUUAGACACUUUUCCUUCAUCUCUGAGAAUGCGUGACCAUGACCUAACUACCCACCGCAACUCCCAACAGGACUCUUUUUGUGAUUUUGUGUUUGAAAAACGUUGUUUACUCCAAAGCCAUUAAUGGUACUUUGAUUGGCGCAGGGAUAAUGUGACUCUGUGGUCUGCAGUGGCAGAGUGUGGAUCCGCCGUUGUUGAGGUUUUUCCCCUCUGAGUGAUGUGGCUUGGGCUUGAACCGGAGCAGAAAUCCUAUGUUGCGCCAUGCUGCAAUGCUCCCUCUCACUCACCUUUUUGGAAAACGCUGAAGGCUUUACUUUCAGAUCCCCGGUGGUUAUGGCUUGUCAAAGUAGGCGGUUGUCAUGGUUUGUUGUAUUGUUAGUUAUGUGUGUUUGAGGGUUAUUUUUUUCCGGAGGGAAUGCUUUACCAAUAAUAACGGACAGCGACUAACGUAUAAUUUUACUCGCCGACAAUUAUGUAAAUUAUGUAUGUUCGCUGGUUUUAUUUGUGUAUGUAUACUUUUAAUAAUGCGAGUUAUUAAUAAAAAAGAUAAUAUUUUUGGGGCAAAUUCGUAUAAACUAUGGGCCUUGUUUUAUUAUUCACAAAUGGAAAUUUGGGUAUGUUGUAUGUGUAAAUUGCUACAAAAAUAUUUGUAGAUCUACAUAACAACCAUUUCGCUCAUCAUCAUCAUUUAUUGGAGUGUGUGUGUGUGUGUGUGUGUGUGUGUGUGUGUGUGUGUGUGUGUGUGUGUGUGCGUGUGCGUGUGCGUGUGCGUGCGUGUAUGACUAUAUAUAAUUACAUACAACGAUACCUUAAUCACCAGACACAGUGAUCUUAACACGGAUCUUAGCCAGGAUCUCUCACCUUCAACUGGACUCCCGGUAUAUCUGGCAGCCUGUCCUUCCUCACUCAUACCCUUACAUUAGGCCAGUUGGCAGGGAGAGGCUGAAUACAAGCUGAGAGAAGGAGUUUGGUGGGCCUGGGAAGGUAGGUUAAGUUUGCAGAUAUUCUUCUGCUUUAUCUUUAUGUCUGAAUAUAUACCCGCCUAAAUUCUCUCAUGCAUACCUACUCUAAAACACUUAAACCACAGUAAUAUACGAUCGAAGGGGACAUAGGCAUAAAACAUUGACUGAGAAACACACACACACACAUACACACACACACUCACACUCACACACACACACACACACACACACAGAUGCACACGCACACGCACACACACACACACACACACACACACAGAUGCACACGCACACGCACACACACACACACACACACACACACAAACUUUCAUGCCGGAACAAGCAGAUAAUAUACAUCCUCAUGAAAACUAAAUAAAAUAAAUAAUAAAAGGGGAAUUUUUGUCUCUUAAAUUGUCAUUUGUAUCAUGCAAUUUCAGAAAUAUAAUCUUCUUUUGUUUUAGAUUAUGCAAAUUAUAAAGUUAUUGUUUCACUUUCAAAUCAUUUUUUAACAAACUAUCAAUUUAGGAGACCUUGAAAACUGCACAAGGUUUACCAGAUAAAGAAGUGUAGCCAAAUAAACUCAAAGUUUUCUGAUAAACCAGGAAUUUUCCAACUUGAACUUGAACUUGUGGGCUGACUUUGAACUUGAGCCCAACCAACUGCAAUGGAUUAGCAACAAUGUUUUAAAUUCAUGAUAAACUUUGUUUUAUGAAGUUCGGCUUAUAUGAUUACUAUCAGUAUAAUUUAUUAGAAAAAAUACUUCAAUCAUUUUAGAAAGAUAUUGAUAAAGGAUAUUGUCUUUUUGGUUAAUUGAGGAAUUUCUCCGAUAAUUUCCUGGCAUGUAGGUUAAUAAAAUAUAAUUGUACAUUUGUCAUUUGGUUUUAAAUUAUUUACAUUUAAUAUUAUUUUUGAUGUUUUUUUUACCAAAGUAAAAGUUGGAUUUAAUUGAUUUUCUUUUGUUAAAAAAUCCAGGAAUAUAUUUUAUAUUUUAUUUUAUUUGACUAUACAGACUUAACUAGUUAAACAUUUUUGAAAGAAAUGUAUGUAGGAUAUUUAUAUGUAAUAGUGUGUGCUUGUGUGUGUGUCUGUCUGUAUAGAUGUGUGUGUGUGUUUGUGUGUGUGUGUGUGUGUGUGUGUGUGUGUGUGUGUGUGUGUGUGUGUGUGUGUGUGUGUGUGUGUGUGUGUGUGUGUGUGUGUGUGUGUGUGUGUGUGUGUGUGUGCCAUUUUAGUUCUAAAAUAGCUGUAUUAUUGCUGUAUUUUGAUUAUAUCUCACAGGUGGUUAAACUGAAUUAUAGUAUUUAUAUGUGUGUGUAUAUUCCAUGUUAUACAAUUUAUCAUAUGUAUAUAUGCUAGAUGCAGUUGAGCUAUUUGCCUUGCAAGAGUGUGUCCAGACAAUUAUUUGUUUCCUAGAAUAAAUAUAAAUCCAAGAGAUUUGAGAGAAAAGCAUGGGGUCAA